rnacentral:rRNA from 1 species
GAUGAACGCUGGCGGCGUGCCUAAUACAUGCAAGUCGAGCGAAUGGAUUAAGAGCUUGCUCUUAUGAAGUUAGCGGCGGACGGGUGAGUAACACGUGGGUAACCUGCCCAUAAGACUGGGAUAACUCCGGGAAACCGGGGCUAAUACAGGAUAACAUUUUGAACCGCAUGGUUCGAAAUUGAAAGGCGGCUUCGGCUGUCAUUUAUGGAUGGACCCGCGUCGCAUUAGCUAGUUGGGGAGGUAACGGCUCACCAAGGCAACGAUGCGUAGCCGACCUGAGAGGGUGAUCGGCCACACUGGGACUGAGACACGGCCCAGACUCCUACGGGAGGCAGCAGUAGGGAAGCUUCCGCAAUGGACGAAAGUCUGACGGAGCAACGCCGCGUGAGUGAUGAAGGCUUUCGGGUCGUAAAACUCUGUUGUUAGGGAAGAACAAGUGCUAGUUGAAUAAGCUGGCACCUUGACGGUACCUAACCAGAAAGCCACGGCUAACUACGUGCCAGCCGCCGCGGUAA